rnacentral:rRNA from 1 species
CACUUGUCUUUUAAAUGGAGACCUGUAUGAAUGGCACGACGAGGGCUUAGCUGUCUCCUUUUUCAAGUCAAUGAAAUUGAUCUCCCCGUGCAGAAGCGGGGAUAUAUACAUAAGACGAGAAGACCCUAUGGAGCUUUAGACACCAAGACAGACCAUGUUAAACACCCCUGAACAAAGGACCAAACCAAAUGAACCCUGCCCUAAUGUCUUUGGUUGGGGCGACCGCGGGGAAGCAUAAAACCCCCACGUGGAGUGGGAACACCCCCUCCUACAACUAAGAGCUCCCGCUCUAGUGAACAGAAAUUCUGACCAACAAGAUCCGGCAAAGCCGAUCAACGGACCGAGUUACCCUAGGGAUAACAGCGCAAUCCCCUUUUAGAGCCCAUAUCGACAGGGGGUUUACGACCUCGAUGUUGGAUCAGGACAUCCUAAUGGUGCAGCCGCUAUUAAGGGUUCGUUUGUUCAACGAUUAAAGUCCUACGUGAUCUGAGU